rnacentral:tRNA from 1 species
CCGGAUUUAGCUCAGUUGGUAGAGCAUUUGACUGUAGUGGUAUUUACAAUUGUGGUUAUCAAAAUGUCACUGGUUCGAUUCCGGUAAUCCGGA